rnacentral:rRNA from 1 species
CAGCAGCCGCGGGAAUACGAGGGGGGCAAGCGUUGCUCGGAAUUAUUGGGCGUAAAGGGUGCGUAGGCGGUUUGAUAAGUCAUCUGUGAAAUCUCUGGGCUCAACCCAGAGUCUGCAGGCGAAACUGUCGAGCUUGAGUAUUGGAGAGGUGAGUGGAAUUUCCGGUGUAGCGGUGAAAUGCGUAGAUAUCGGAAGGAACACCUGUGGCGAAAGCGGCUCACUGGACAAUUACUGACGCUGAUGCACGAAAGCUAGGGGAGCAAACAGGAUUAGAUACCCCCGUAGUCCCUGUCUCUUAUAC